UACGAAGGGGGCUAGCGUUGCUCGGAAUCACUGGGCGUAAAGGGUGCGUAGGCGGGUCUUUAAGUCAGGGGUGAAAUCCUGGAGCUCAACUCCAGAACUGCCUUUGAUACUGAGGAUCUUGAGUUCGGGAGAGGUGAGUGGAACUGCGAGUGUAGAGGUGAAAUUCGUAGAUAUUCGCAAGAACACCAGUGGCGAAGGCGGCUCACUGGCCCGAUACUGACGCUGAGGCACGAAAGCGUGGGGAGCAAGCAGGG
rnacentral:rRNA from 1 species